AAUUACAGAAAAAAACACGUUUGAACUAAAACUUUCAAUUCACCACGAAUUAGGGUUUCACCAAAGAAAAAAGGGAAUACAAUUUCUAACCCCAAUUUUGCUGCUUUCAAAUUCAGCAUGAGUCUCACUCAAUUCUCAAUGGUUGAAGAAUUGGCAUUUCUUGUAAAGGACAAUCUUCCAUGUAAGCAUCUUGUUCUUUCUAUGGAAGAUAUGUUUGUCGAUUUCCUUAACGAUCCAUCGAGCCUAGAAGAUGUGCUGGAACUGGAGCCAAUGAAUCCCUACAAUCGUCUUCUUGUACACCGCCUUGCUGACAUAUUUGGAUUUUCUCAUCAUUCUAUUGGUGAAGGAGAUGAGCGGCAUCUCGUGCUAAAACGUUGCGAGGACACAUCAGUACCCUCCAUUCUCGUUGCGGAUAUGUUAUGGGAGCAUGUCGACUACCAGUCUCCAAUAACUUCACAGAUUUUAUCACGAAGAGAAGAUGUAUCCGCUGGGACGAAGAUAGAAACAUUAUCUGCUCAACUCUCUUUAAAGGACAGAGAGGAAGCUUACAUGGCAGCUCGAAAACGGAUUUUUUCAACAGAUGAUGACAUGGAAUUGCCUGCAAAAGAGCGUCCUCGAAAUAAUCCAGUAGUUGCUCGUCGCAUGAUUGCCCAUGCACUUGGCCAAAAAAUCAAACAAUCUAAUCUAGAUAUAGGUGUCACAGAUGCCAUGGUGUGCCAGGAACCUGCGAAUGAAGCAAAAGGUCAAAAUAUUAGUUCAAGCUUGAAAACUCAUGCAAAGUCAAAUAGUCAACAACAUAUCAGUGGAAACGAGGCUAACAAGACAUAUUCUAAUAAGAAGAUGCUUCCAAACCUAGGUGUUGAAGCAUCAAGCACUGCAAAUGCUCCUAAGUGUAAUCUUAAAGAGGAACAUAUUGUAGCUGCAAAGCGUAUGUUCGCUAACGCCUUAAGAAUGCAUCCAGGAAAAGAAAUUGUUCUUUCAAAAUGUGGUCAAACGAAGCAAAUGGACAAGUCUUAGGGGUAGUUUGUUUUUACAUGACGAGAACUUGAGGCUGAAAUCUGAAUCUGAAAAUUGAUUAUGAAUGCUCUGUGUGAAUCUUUUGUGGCCCUCACAUUUCUAUUUCAACAAGCAAAAUACAGAUGGAAUUUUUCGUUGUUUCAACCAUUUCUGUUCUUAGAAGAUGCAUUACCUGAAUAGAACCACAGUUUGACUGCGGUACGUCUCUUCAUUAAUAGUAAGUUUCCAUGAGAAGAAGCUGAAGUUGUGGGGUUCAUCUCUGGGUGUUCUGUAGGUGUGGGUUGGAAGUUUUUCAAUGGUCAUGUCUCAUCUGUGGUGCCUCUGGAUCGUAGAAUGCUCACUUGCUCAGGUUAUGAAGUAUGCGUGCUUGAUUUCCAAUGGAACUAUACUGCUAUUGGGCACUUAUACCAGAAAGUUAUGUCAGAUCUGUAUCAACAAGUUUCACCAUUUUCAUCCCCGAACAUUCAGGAAUUACCACUGCAGGGUCAUGUGUAAUUAUGUUGCAGGUAAGUAAAAACAAAAUUGCAAGUCUGCUUCUUCGUUGUUUCUCAAUCCAUUUAGGUAUGCACUAAAACAUGAUCCUGGAUCGUACUCAUACAUUAUGUACAAUAAAGAUGUCUGUAGACCAAAAAAACUUUUAUUCUUAGUGAGCACCCAGGAGAUAUUUCUGUAAAGCAUACUUGGAAACAGAAGAACAUUGGAACAAUAGUCUUGAUUUCUGCUAGAAGUAUGUUCAAACGUCAUAGACCAGUAUUUCAGAGGGGAAGCACCUGCACAUCAAGCGUUUUCGCCUGCUGUGUUGCUGUGAACGACUUCAUCUCCCUUUUGGCCCUCUGUUUAGGAUUAAAGAAGAGGUUAAGGGGUCUUUUUCAAACAAGAGAAAAGGAGAGGUUAAGUGGUCAUCUGGUUCCGAAUAUGGAUUAGAUGUAGCAGUAUGGGUUGGUCAUGGUUGGCUAAUGUGUUAAAAUUUAUUCAUGUUGUGCAGAAAGAAUUUUUGUUCAAAUACUUGAUUAUAUUUUACUUUAUAUAUUAUCAAUAAUUGGUCCAUCAAA